UACGGAGGGGGCAAGCGUUGUUCGGAAUUACUGGGCGUAAAGGGCGCGCAGGCGGCUGCUCAAGUCAGGCGUGAAAGGCCUGGGCUCAACCCGGGAAUUGCGCUUGAGACUGGGCUGGCUUGAGUGCGGGAGAGGAUGGUGGAAUUCCCAGUGUAGAGGUGAAAUUCGUAGAUAUCGGGAGGAACACCGGUGGCGAAGGCGGCGACCUGGGUCGAGACUGACGCUGAGGCGCGAAAGCGUGGGGAGCAAACGGG
rnacentral:rRNA from 1 species